rnacentral:rRNA from 1 species
AUUGAACGCUGGCGGCAGGCUUAACACAUGCAAGUCGAGCGAGCGGCGGACGGGUGAGUAAUGUCUGGGAAUCUGCCUGAUGGAGGGGGAUAACUACUGGAAACGGUAGCUAAUACCGCAUACCAUCGGAUGUGCCCAGAUGGGAUUAGCUAGUAGGUGGGGUAAUGGCUCACCAAGGCGACGAUCCCUAGCUGGUCUGAGAGGAUGACCAGCCACACUGGAACUGAGACACGGCCCAGACUCCUACGGGAGGCAGCAGUGGGGAAUAUUGCGCAAUGGGCGCAAGCCUGAUGCAGCCAUGCCGCGUGUGUGAAGAAGGCCUUCGGGUUGUAAAGCACUUUCAGCGGGGAGGCGUUACUCACAGAAGAAGCACCGGCUAACUCCGUGCCAGCCGCCGCGGUAAUUC